rnacentral:rRNA from 1 species
UACGGAGGGAGCUAGCGUUGUUCGGAAUUACUGGGCGUAAAGCGUGCGCAGGCGGCUUUGCAAGACAGAUGUGAAAUCCCCGGGCUUAACCUGGGAACUGCAUUUGUGACUGCAUGGCUGGAGUGCGGCAGAGGGGGAUGGAAUUCCGCGUGUAGCAGUGAAAUGCGUAGAUAUGCGGAGGAACACCGAUGGCGAAGGCAAUCCCCUGGGCCUGCACUGACGCUCAUGCACGAAAGCGUGGGGAGCAAACAGG